rnacentral:ncRNA from 1 species
ACGAGCCACAUGCAGGGAAACUUGCACGUGUGGUUCAGGCCGGGGACCCCGGU